rnacentral:rRNA from 1 species
GUCUAUGGCCACGCUACCCUGAACAAGCCCUAUUCUGUCUCAUCACGGAAGCUAACCAGGGUUGAGCCUGGUUAGUACUUGGAUGGGAGACCACUUAGGAAGACCAGGUGCUGUAGGCA